UACCAGACGGAGUAGCUCUGUGGCUACCAGUGUGUCCCUUUAAGAGGGAGGCUCAUCCCUGGCAACUGGUGUCCAGAUGGGGCCUUGGAGAGGCCCUAGGGAGAGGCAGAAGUAGGACUGGGGGAACUGGGACUGCAGAGACUGGUCGUCAGAGGGCAUUCUGAGAGCACCAAGGGAAGCCAGGUCUGAAGACAGGGGGCCUGAGACCCUAGCCUGGAAGGAUCCUGCUCAAAAAGGAAGGCUCUGGCUCUUUGGGGCCAGACCUUUGACUGAGAUUUGGAGGAUGAGAUACUGGCCCAGGAUGGGUUGAGAACAGUAAGUGCUGAGACAGCAGCAGCUGAUUUUAAUCAGAAGGAAUAAAUAGCCCUUCCUGUCCUCAGGGUUUCAGCAGAAGCAAAUACUGGGCCAGACCUUGUGCUGAGUGCUCUGGGGGAUGUGACCUUGUGGCUGCCCUCUGGGGCUGAUCGUCUAGUAGGGGGACAGACACAACUAACCACCACCCCUGUCUCCACUCACCGGAACA